UCAGGUAGGAAUACCCGCUGAACUUAAGCAUAU
rnacentral:rRNA from 6 species